AUUGAACGCUGGCGGAAUGCUUUACACAUGCAAGUCGAACGGCAGCACGGGGCAACCUGGUGGCGAGUGGCGAACGGGUGAGUAAUACAUCGGAACGUGCCCAAUCGUGGGGGAUAACGUAGCGAAAGUUACGCUAAUACCGCAUACGAUCUACGGAUGAAAGCGGGGGAUCGCAAGACCUCGCGCGAAUGGAGCGGCCGAUGUCAGAUUAGGUAGUUGGUGGGGUAAGGGCUCACCAAGCCAACGAUCUGUAGCUGGUCUGAGAGGAUGACCAGCCACACUGGGACUGAGACACGGCCCAGACUCCUACGGGAGGCAGCAGUGGGGAAUUUUGGACAAGGGGCGCAAGCCUGAUCCAGCCAUUCCGCGUGCAGGAUGAAGGCCUUCGGGUUGUAAACUGCUUUUGUACGGAACGAAACGGUUCUCUCUAAUACAGGGGGCUAAUGACGGUACCGUAAGAAUAAGCACCGGCUAACUACGUGCCAGCAGCCGCGGUAACAC
rnacentral:rRNA from 1 species